GGAAUAUUGGUCAAUGGGCGGAAGCCUGAACCAGCCAUGCCGCGUGCAGGAAUAAGGCCCUACGGGUCGUAAACUGCUUUUGUACGGGAGCAAUAAGGGCCACGCGUGGUCCGAUGAGAGUACCGUACGAAUAAGCAUCGGCUAACUCCGUGCCAGCAGCCGCGGUAAUACGGAGGAUGCGAGCGUUAUCCGGAUUCAUUGGGUUUAAAGGGUGCGUAGGCGGCGUGCCAAGUCAGGGGUGAAAGGUUCCGGCUCAACUGGGACAGUGCCUUUGAUACUGGUGUGCUGGAGUGCGCUUGCCGUGGGAGGAAUGAGUGGUGUAGCGGUGAAAUGCUUAGAUAUCACUCAGAACACCGAUUGCGAAGGCAUCUCACGAAGGCGUAACUGACGCUGAGGCACGAAAGCGUGGGGAUCAAACA
rnacentral:rRNA from 1 species